GAGCAUCCGGGGCUGAUCGCGGAGGUAGGCGGUGCCCCCACAGCCCCCUGAGGUUUCUUUCUCCCUUAGUCGAUCCGUGUUUUGAAUCUCCUGGCUUCAACGAGGUCCCACCCUUCCUCAGACGCGGGGCCCCCCCGCGCCGUCCCACGACCGUGCAGGUUUUGUCCACCCUCCCGCUCUUGGGAGAUCGAGUUUAGUGUGGGCUGACUGCCCUGAAAACUGUCCAACGGGUAACCUUAAAAAAAGAAAAAGAAAAAAGUUUCCCCCCGGGGGAUCAGAACGUUUAAGCAUUAAACGUCGGCUAGGGCUUCCUGGCGGCUUGAGGUUCACCACCACCUUAACAUCUUUCUCCUCUAAGACAGAAAAACACUGGGGGGCCCGAGGACAAGGGGUGGUGAAGACGCGAGGAAAAACCUAAUUAGGAAUCAGGUUCACGUCCUCAUCUAGGUGAUCGGUCGACAGGGUUUAAUUUCUGUCUUUUGUAAACUGAAAUGCCAGGCAGAGGAGCUAAUUUUAAUUUCAGAUGGACUCAGUUUGUAUAAUGACGUGUGUUUUUGGAAGAAACGGGUGUAAAGAGAACUAAUACAAAGAGAAUUUUAAUGGCGUGCCAAAGUAAACAAACACUAUUGUGAGUAGCACAUUUGAGUUAAAAAGAAAACGUGAGUGGGUGAUAAAUUUGGAUUUCUCCUUAUAUCCAUUUGGUUCGCCGCGGUGGUGCACUUGCAUGGUGACCUAUUUAGAGUACUUUUGAAAUAGCUGUUAAUAGUAUGGUUACCAUUGACAUGCAAAGAGAAAUCUAGACCUUGAGGUACAGGAUAUUUUAAAUUUUAAAGCCGAAACAAAGCAUUCUUGGAAAUUUGAGUCUUGGGAACAAAGUAAUAUUACACAGGACUCGAAGAUUGUCAUGUGCUAUUUUCCUGUGACACUUUGAGGUUUUGACCACUUCAACCCAGGCAGUGUAGUAUUGUAUUUCAGAGAAUCAUCUAGGUUUCUUAUUGUUGUCCUCCUUUAAAUCUCUUAGGUUAAGCAGCCAGAUCUUGUCAAAAAACAGUCACUGUGAAAAAUUGAAUUUUAUCACUUUUUGCCUGAACCUUACUAGUUUUGUUUACACAUAGAUUUAAAUCGGUUAGGGUUUUUUUGAAGGCCCCAAAUAAUGCACAAUGUCUUAUUAUUUAUUGAUUCUGAUUAGACAUAGAAUGCACCUAUGAUUUUAUUCAGCCUAAAUAGUGAUCUGCAGGCAGAUAUGACACAUGGUUAGAAAGUAGAAGUGAGAAAAGGCAGUGAUUCUGAAUACCUAGAGCACUCCCUCCAAGAACAGAAGAGCAUGAGAUGAAGGGAGGAUGAAUAUGCAAAUGUAAAACUUUUAGAGCAUUAUUUUCACCUUUCAUAAUCCUAUUGAACAAGCUGAAAGGAAGCAAAAAAAAAAAAAAAAAUCCAGAUAAUGAUUUUUGAGCUUGUGUUUUUCUAAACCUAAGGACACUCUUAUCUGGUCAUAUAUAUGUGGGUGUGAAUUAUUUCAGACAAGUGCUUUUCUUGCUAUAUUAAUUUACAAAAACGAAUCAAAGGCUUAUUCCUGCCAUACUUUUGAAAGCAGACUGGGUGGAGAGAAUUAAAAAAAAAAAAAAUCACCAACCUCCCCAAACUCAACCCUUGACCUUGGUUAUUUAUCAUGUCCUUUUCUUCUCAUGGUUAACGAAUCCGACUAGGAACCAUGAGGUUGUGGGUUCCAUCCCUGCCCUUGCUCAAUGGGUUAGGGAUCUGCCGUGAGCUGUGGUAUAAGUUGCAGACACGGCUCGGAUCCCCCGCGUUGCUGUGGCUCUGGUGUAGGCCGGCAGCUACAGCUCCGAUUCGACCCCUAGCCUGGGAACCUCCAUAUGCUGCGGGAGCGACCCAAGAAAUGGC
rnacentral:lncRNA from 1 species